rnacentral:tRNA from 1 species
GCCGGGGUGCUGAAAUUGGCAGACAGGGUGGACUUAAAAUCCGCUGAGCGUAAGCUCGUGUGGGUUCGAAUCCCACCCCCGGCA